AACGAACGCUGGCGGCAGGCCUAACACAUGCAAGUCGAACGAGAAGCCACCUUCGGGUGGUGGACAGUGGCAGACGGGUGAGUAACGCGUGGGAACGUGCCUUUCGGUUCGGGAUAACCCAGGGAAACUUGGGCUAAUACCGGAUACGCCCUUCGGGGGAAAGAUUCAUCGCCGAAAGAUCGGCCCGCGUCGGAUUAGCUAGUUGGUGAGGUAACGGCCCACCAAGGCUACGAUCGGUAGGUGGUCUGAGAGGAUGGUCACCCACACUGGGACUGAGAUACGGCCCAGACUCCUACGGGUGGCUG
rnacentral:rRNA from 1 species